CAGUAGCCACGGUAAUACGAAGGGGGCUAGCGUUGUUCGGAAUUACUGGGCGUAAAGCGCACGUAGGCGGAUUUUUAAGCCAGGGGUGAAAUCCCGAGGCCCAACCUCGGAACUGCCUUUGAUACUGGAGAUCUUGAGUUCGGAAGAGGUUGGUGGAACAGCUAGUGUAGAGGUGAAAUUCGUAGAUAUUAGCUAGAACACCAGUGGCGAAGGCGGCCAACUGGUCCGAUACUGACGCUGAGGUGCGAAAGCGUGGGGAACAAACAGGAUUAGAUACCCCCGUAGUCCCUGUCUCUUAUAC
rnacentral:rRNA from 1 species